rnacentral:rRNA from 1 species
UGGGGAAUAUUGGACAAUGGAGGAAACUCUGAUCCAGCAAUUCUGUGUGUGUGAAGAAGGUUUUAGGACUGUAAAACACUUUUAGUAGGGAAGAAAAAAAUGACGGUACCUACAGAAGAAGCAACGGCUAAAUACGUGCCAGCAGCCGCGGUAAUACGUAUGUUGCGAGCGUUAUCCGGAAUUAUUGGGCUUAAAGGGCAUCUAGGCGGUAAGACAAGUUGAAGGUGAAAACCUGUGGCUCAACCAUAGGCUUGCCUACAAAACUGUUGAACUAGAGUACUGGAAAGGUGGGUGGAACUACACGAGUAGAGGUGAAAUUCGUAGAUAUGUGCAGGAAUGCCGAUGAUGAAGAUAACUCACUGGACAGAAACUGACGCUGAAGUGCGAAAGCUAGGGGAGCAAACAGG